GGCAGUAUGGUGUAUGGACGCACGCGGGAUUAUUGUAUGCGCUAAGCGCUUGCAUCCGGGUUUGGUCCCCGAAGUCCUUGUUCGAUUCAAGGUACUGCUU